rnacentral:rRNA from 1 species
GACGAACCGUGCGAACGUUGUUCGGAAUCACUGGGCUUAAAGGGCGCGUAGGCGGCCGGGUUGGUCGUGGGUGAAAUCCCCCAGCUUAACUGGGGAACUGCCUACGAUACUGCCUGGCUCGAGGGAGGAAGGGGCGGUCGGAACUGUCGGUGGAGCGGUGAAAUGCGUUGAUAUCGGGAGGAACACCAGUGGCGAAGGCGACUACCUGGCCUGUUCUUGACGCUGAGGCGCGAAAGCUAGGGGAGCAAACGGG